AAUCAGAUUGUUCUAGAGAUGUUUGUUGGGUGAGAUAAAAUCAAUAAAAUGGAAGUUGUACCAGUACCACCUCAAAUGCUGGCAGUUUAUAAAUUCCUCAGACAUGAUGUUCUGUCCUCAAGAUGAAAAAUGCUUCAAAAUAUUCAACUUGGAACCUGAUAAUAGCUACUGGUCUUCAGCUCCACAUUCUCCAGCCUUGUCCAGCUUCUCAUGAUGUAAAAUUGUGAUUUCACUCAGAGGAAACAACAGGAAUUUAUUGAGGACCAGAGGUAAGUUAUUACAAACUAUU